AUUGAACGCUGGCGGCAUGCUUUACACAUGCAAGUCGAACGGUAACAGGCCUUCGGGUGCUGACGAGUGGCGAACGGGGGAGUAAUGCAUCGGAACGUACCCAGAGGUGGGGGAUAACGCAGCGAAAGCUGUGCUAAUACCGCAUGUGAUCUGAGGAUGAAAGCGGGGGACCGAGCAGCAAUGUUUGGCCUCGCGUCUUUGGAGCGGCCGAUGUCGGAGUAGCUAGUUGGUAGGGUAAAGGCCUACCAAGGCGACGAUACGUAGCUGGUCUGAGAGGACGACCAGCCACACUGGAACUGAGACACGGCCCAGACUCCUACGGGAGGCAGCAGUAGGGAAUUUUGGACAAUGGGCGCAAGCCUGAUCCAGCAAUGCCGCGUGCGGGAAGAAGGCCUUCGGGUUGUAAACCGCUGUUGGCAGGAACGAAACGGUGUCCGCUAAUACCGGGCGCUAAUGACGGUACCUGCAGAAUAAGCUCCGGCUAACUACGUG
rnacentral:rRNA from 1 species